rnacentral:rRNA from 1 species
AUUGAACGCUGGCGGCAGGCUUAACACAUGCAAGUCGAGCGAGCGGCGGACGGGUGAGUAAUGUCUGGGAAACUGCCUGAUGGAGGGGGAUAACUACUGGAAACGGUAGAUAAUACCGCAUACCAUCAGAUGUGCCCAUAUGGGAUUAGCUAGUCGGUGGGGUAAUGGCUCACCUAGGCGCCGAUCCCUCGCUGGUCUGAGAGGAUGACCAGCCACACGGGAACUGAGACACGGGCCAGCGUCCUACGUGAGGCAGCAGGGGGGAAUAUUGCACAAUGGGCGCAAGCCUGAUACAGCCAGGCCGCGUGUGUGAAGAAGGCCUUCGGGGUGUAAAGCACUGUCAGCGAGGAGGCGUUACUCGCAGAAGAAGCACCGGCUAACUCCGUGCCAGCAGCCGCGGUAAUAC